UAGUCGCCGCCACUAUCGCCAACAUGGCCACGUGCUAGACGUGUUUACGUGAACUGCGUCAUCUUUCGUAUUUUUCUUGUUCAUAUACCAAAGUGUUAGCUGUGAGAUUACAGUGUUGGGUAUCGGAUAUGGUCAUAUGAUGCGCGUGUGGUGACCAGCAGUCAUUAACGUGCUCCUCGUGGGCAUGGCGGGUGUGGACGUGCCUGUACCACGGUGCACCUGCAACGUCAAGGAUUUGACUACCUGUUCCGCUGUCAAUCAGGAUUCACUCACGAGUAGAGCCGUAAGAAGUUAUAGACCACAUGGGAGCCUCGCCAGGUUACUUUAUGAUAAGCAGAAGGCGGAUGAACAGCUCGAAGCGUACGACAAAACCCAGUGGUAUAAGGUAGACAGAACGAAAAUCCGGGAUGAUUUGCUGCGUUUAUGGAUUCCCCUUGGAACAGGACUGCACCACGAUCAACCCGACAGAACCGCCGAAAUCUUCCUAAUGAAAUCCAUCGAGAGAUCGGACUCUUUACCAUUGCAAGCCUGGCAUUCUCUGGCAAGAUCUGCUCUGUCCUGGUUCAUCAGCCGAACUUCCAUAAACGGGCUGCUAGGCCGCGGCUCCAUGCAUGUCUUUUCCUGCGAACAGUUUCAAAAAUUUAUGGCAGCGAGCGGCUUUACAGGGCCGUGGCAUUCGUUGGUGGAUUUAGGAGCUGGCGACGGUGCCACCACUGCUCAUGUAGCCCACCUCUUUGAAAAAGUUUACGCCACAGACAUAUCAGCACCGAUGAGAUGGGCUCUGGCGAGAAGGAAGUUCACGGUACUGGACGUAGAAAAAUGGCACGAAAGCGGUCCAUUCGACGUGAUCCUCUGCCUGAAUCUGUUGGAUCGUUGCGAUCGACCUAAUACUCUACUUCGCCGUCUGAAAUCAUCUUUGGCUCCGGGUGGACGUCUGGUCGUAGCGCUAGUUCUUCCCUUCAGCCCUUACGUGGAAGUUGGUGAAAGGGGUGACCACAAACCGUCAGAAUAUCUACCAGUAAAAGGGAACGGUCUAGAAGGUCAAAUAGCCAGCCUCGUCGACAGAGUUUUCGCACCAUUGAGCCUAAGGUGUCUCGUAUGGAGCAAACUGCCUUACCUCUGCGAGGGGGACCUCGGCCAGGCGUAUUACUUUCUCGACGACGUAAUAUUCGUGCUAGAGGCGCAGCCAGAUAGCUCGCGAUACUCAGCUUCCGAAUGGAUGGAUACGGAACCGUCUGGAAAAGAAUGCCCAAACACGUUCGAGCAACAGACUUAUCAAGAACGGAAAUGUAAUACAGAUUGCAUGUGUUGCUCAGUGUAUAACAUUCUGUGUGCCAAAUGUGGAUGAUCCGUAACUGAAAACACAACCUGUACCUGUUUUGUCCACUAAUCUCGAGCAUAAAUCAGAACACCAGAAACCGUAAAAUCGAUUUGUUCCUAGUAAUUUCAACAAUUUCACAGACAACGUUGAUUUGAAAUCUAUGUCGAUUCUUGAGACAGGAAUAUGUGGAGGUGGCAGGAAACUCCUUAGCGACUGUACAAGCUGUAUUGUAUCCACCAGCGCUGUAACAAAACCAACACAAAACAUAUACAUUUCAUUUUCAUCAAUGGAGAAAGAUUGGCAUGAUCUAAAAAGUAGUCAAAGAAACACAGUAUUUAAUAUCUAAUAACAUCACGCAUCGAUAUUAUGUAAAAUAUAAAUAAUUUAUAAGAAGAAUCUAUUUGUAAACCUAAUGGAAAUAUUAUAUUAAAAGAUAAAUCAUGAUA